UCUUUUUUGGUUCACUAGUCACCAGAUUAUGAAAAGCAACAUGAGGCAAGUUAAAAAGACUUUGCAUCAUCAGGAGUUCUUGAACUUUCAACUGAUUGCAAUGAAUGCUUAAGACUUUGAGUUUUCUUUGGGAGUGGAUGAGUGUGGGAUAAAAAGAAAAAUAGAUAUUUCUUGACUACAAAGAGGGAUUAUGGCAAAGAUAAUGGAGCCCAGGCCCCUGGCCCAGGGACUGGAAAUUGGUGGGAAAUGCUGUUCCAAGCUGAAAUCCUGAAUCCAUUCGAAGGGAACUCACUUUAGAUGCCAAAUGGUUCCAUCAGCAAAGGCAUCUGGAAAAUGUUGGACUCUGUUUAACUCUGUAUCCUCAGGCUUGGCUGACUACCCAGAAAACCAUCUUUGAAUGCCACACCCAAAGAUGGAUGAGCUCAACAUCUAAUUGUUCACAUGAGGAAAGCAUUCACAUCACUUUAGUACAAGGGAAUCCUGUCAUACAUGAGAGUGGCAUCACCAGAAUGCUACCCAGAUAUACACAAAGGAGGAUAAACUUAGAAUCCAGGCACAAUUUCCAGUUUACUUACUGCUGGGGUAAAUGCUGUUGGAUGAACAGGGCUACUCUAACGGGUCACUCCCAGGGUGUCACUUUCUUCUGGAGGUAUCUCCAGGAUAGCAGACAUCUUGCAUGCUUUUCGGUGCUUAUAGGCAGCUGCCUCAAGUGAGGCUGCCAGCGUUCAUCAUUCACCUUCCCCUGUGCAAAGACAUGGAGGAGAAAACUGCCGCUGAACAAGGCCGAGAGGGCAUGAAAUUGUGUUAAGCAACACUCAUGACAAUGACUGGA